rnacentral:rRNA from 1 species
GGCAAACGGGUGCGUAACACAUUGGCAAUCUACCCCGAAGUUCGGGAUAACCCGCCGAAAGGCGGCCUAAUACCGGAUGUGGUGCUCGGUCGCGAGACCGAUCAGUAAAGCCCAAAAGGCGCUUCGGGAGGAGCCUAUGGCCUAUCAGCUAGUUGGCGGGGUAACGGCCCACCAAGGCAAUGACGGGUAGCGGGUGUGAGAGCAUGACCCGCCUCACUGGGACUGAGACGCUGCCCAGACACCUACGGGUGGCUGCAGUCAAGAAUAUUCCACAAUGGGGGGAACCCUGAUGGAGCGACGCCGCGUGCAGGAUGAAGGUCUUCGGAUUGUAAACUGCUUUUCCAAGGGACGAAGCUUCGGCUGACGGUACCUUGGGAAUAAGAGGUUGCUAACUCUGUGCCAGCAGCAGCGGUAAUACAGAGACCUCAAGCGUUAUCCGGAUUUAUUGGGCGUAAAGCGUCCGCAGGUGGCACGUUAAGUCUCGCGUCAAAUCUUCGGGCUCAACCCGGGGGCUGCGCGGGAAACUGGCGAGCUGGAGGACGGGAGAGGCAAGCGGAAUUGCCGGUGUAGUAGUAAAAUGCGUUAAUAUCGGCAAGAACACCAAAGGCGAAGGCAGCUUGCUGGAACGUUCCUGACACUAAUGGACGAAAGCGUGGGGAGCGAAGCGGAUUAGAUACCCGCGUAGUCCACGCCCUAAACGAUGAGUGCUGGAUACUGGGAGUAUCGACCCUCCCGGUGUCGUCAAAACAAGCUAACGCGUUAAGCACUCCGCCUGGGGAGUACGGCCGCAAGGCUAAAACUCAAAGGAAUAGACGGGGACCCGCACAAGCGGUGGAACAUGUGGUUUAAUUCGACGGUAAGCGAGGCACCUCACCAAGGUUUGACAUGCAACUGCAAAUCCCAUGAAAGUGGGACUCCUUCGAGGGUGUUGCACAGGUGCUGGAUGGUUGUCGUCAGCUCGUGCCGUGAGGUGUACCCUUAAGUGGGGUAACGAGCGCAACCCCUAUGUCGUGUUGAAAUUCACGACAGACUGCCUCGGCUAACGGGGAGGAAGGUGGGGACGACGUCAAAUCAGCAUGGCCCUUACACCUUGGGCUACACACGUGUUACAAUGGACGGUACAAUGGGUCGCCAAACCGCAAGGUGGAGCUAAUCCCAUCAAAACCGUUCUCAGUUCGGAUUGAGGUCUGCAAUUCGACCUCAUGAGGCUGGAAUCGCUAGUAAACGCGCAUCAGCCACGGCGCGUUGAAUACGUUCUCGGGUCUUGUACUCACCGCCCGUCACGUCAAGAGAGUCGGUAAUACCCGAAGACACGCGUCCGCGUGUCGAAGGCAGGACCGAUGAUAGGGACGAAGUCGUAACAAGGCA